rnacentral:tRNA from 2 species
CGCGAGAUGGCGCAAAGGUAGCGCGUAGCUUUCACGAGGCUAAGGUUGAAGGUUCGAAUCCUUCUCUCGCAA